AUCCGAGUUCUCCUUUAAACUGCAAUGAGAUCACACUUCUAUGUUUGUGACAUAGCAGGUUGCCAUGGAGAUGACAGCUUUAUCAGCAACUCUGCCUUGCCAUGACUUCACAACAAGGUUACUAAGAAGCAGAUGGGCUGUGAAGCAGA
rnacentral:lncRNA from 1 species